CUAGCCGGUUUUCUCAUAAGAGUCAAUGCUAAUAUUUUCGGAAUUCAUUUAAAUUUGAGAGUGUGUCAACUGUGUUUUUAUAGUUUGGAGAAAAUGCCUAAAUUUUGUGAUGUUGUGGGUUGCGCGAAUCGAAGCACCAGAAAUGCGGAGAAAUUUUAUUUUCCUUUCCCAGCAAUUAGCAACGUAAAUAUAUACAGGAUGGGGAAAAAAGGCGGAAGCUUUGGUUAAAAACCUUGAAACGAGUGGAUUUAACGAAGCCAAAGUAAAGUAUUCCUAUAUUUGUUCAGAUCAUUUUAUUUUAGGUAAACCUGCAGAUUUGUCGGAUGUGGACCACCCUGAUUAUGUUCCAUCACAAAAUUUAGGAUAUCAAAAUAAAUCCAC